AUCGAACCGAUCGAAACGUCGAUUCGUUUAACGUCAAAGCCCUGAGUUAUAUGAGCAGGAAAAAACGUCGAAUCAACGAGGAAACGAUUGAUCAGAAAGGACAGCGAAAGCGACGCUCACUUAUUUGUUCGUUUAUCAGAUUUUCUUCGAGCAAGUGGACCCGAGUGGGCGAAUGGCUCGAGUAUAUGGAACAGUCGAUCUAAACUUAGUCGUUGGUCGGUUCUGGAAAUAGAUGUUAUGAGUGCGAGGACAGGACAAGAUACCACCGGCCCCUAUUAUGCGUACAGCCAUGUAUCAUAAACGAUCCACCCCCUACUUCCACCCUAACACCCUAACACCAUGGAUUCUUAAGGUCAUUUGGUAAUUUGUUUAUUCGUUGAUUAUUUCCCACGACGUAUUAACGGAAAGGUUGAAUCACGAAAACAGCUGUGGCAAAGUGUGAAUACGUUUUCAACUUAUGAAUGCGAUGUCUGAAACACCUAAAAGCAGUUUAACAAAAUGACUAUGAUAAUAGAUGUGUCAUUUCCUGUUCCAACCUUCUAAUUUACUGUUUCAAACGAUCAGUUCGUUUUGUAUUCGAUCAAGUUGAAUUGAAGAUCUUCGUAGCUGUUAAAAUGAAAAAAAGAAAAAAAGAGAAACAAAUCGAUCGAAUCGCUUAUUCAAAAAUAUGUCCCUGCAUUAAUUAAUCUGAAUUGGUAAAAUGAUUCUCAGUCAAUAACCGCUGGCUUCAAGAGAUCUAUAAAUACGCUUCCGGUCGGUUAGGUGUUAAUAAUACAAUGUAACAAGGCGCCUGACUAUACGCAUGAAUCUACUACUUACGAAAGUAUGACGCUAAAACCACGCGAUUGCGAUAGCAAAACGUGGCCAAAACGUUGAUCGCGUGUAUCAAAGGAUCCAUUUAGCGAGCUAACGACUAUUUCGAGAGGAAUUAAAGCUAGAAAAGCCAUACCAUCAACAACGAAUCAUCCCGCCUGAAAAUAAAGUCGAAGGCACUUCCAAAGGUACAUACAUAUACAUAUUAAGGUAUCGUAACGUUAAUGAUCUUUAUAUCUGUUCGACGUUUCGUAAUAUAAAAGCUCUAUGUUGUAUUUCUGUCCGAAUAACAAACUGUAAAGAAGAAGUUAUCGAGUUACCUAUUUGCAAAACAGAGAAAAGCGAAGGAGAAAGAAAUUCGAAAUUUGAUUGAUUCCAUCAGGCUCGUUUCGGCUGCAACUCUCAUUUCCGAGAAAUAAACUGUUCAAAGAAUCGUUUUUCUCUUAGCUGAAAUCAGCUGGAAGAAUGAAAUUUUCACUAGUUUAUAUGCUUCUGCGCAAAAAUGAUCGACUCGAAGAUCAAAAUUCUAUGAUUCUGCAUUUCUCGUUCUUCUAUUCUUGGACCACCAAACUCCUACGCGGUUACUCAAUACCCCAGACACGUAUUAUUUACCGAAUCUCUGUACGUAUAUCCAACUUGACAGACAAUUCUAUCAUGAAAAGCCAAAUUAAUAAACAUAAUGGAUUUCCGUCUUAUAAUAAUACAAGCAUAUUAUUUCAAAGCUAUUAAUAAGUAUUGGGUUUUCACAUUGUGUACCGUUUUAAACAACACUUUCUGGUAUAAAUGCGUUAUUCCUAUUUAUGUAGCGGUAUACUAAUAAAUGGGAGUGUACGUGUUAAAAACAAUAAAAUCACUAUAUAGAUCUGGUAAAGCUUCUUCGGUUUAAACUAUGAUGAUUCGGAUUUAACAUUCUGCAAGUAAUUUGUUGCAACAUAUGCACGAGAAAAGUUAGAAAGCUGAUUCGAUAUCAAGGAGUGGACGAGACGAUCGGCACGAUUCCAAAAAGCAGGCAAUCCUCGAUAAUCUCGAAAUAACGAGAACCUCGCUCCUUCUCUCGCGGCAUCGCGAAGACGCGCCACGCUUCGCGCUUUCGUCUUUAUCGAACCCGCGACAUCGGCAUCGUGCUCUCUUCUUCUCACCCAUGGCUACACGGACUGUCGGUAUUUUUGGUCGGGGCACGAGGAAGAGAAGACGAUGGUGGACCGCGAGUAUACGAAGGGGAUGGCGAAUCAACGAAUCGGAAAGAGAAAGACCAGGGAGAAGUUGAAGUCGAAAGAGCGAGGAUACGCGAGAGCUUUAAGAAAGAAAGGAAGAGAGAGAGAGAGAGAGAGAGGGAGGAGAAACAAGGAGGACAAACAUCAUCGUGAAAACGGUUAGCGCCGUCAGCGUAACCUGAGAGCUUCUCGGACCCCGCGACCAUAUAUGUCCGCCUCUCGCUCUCUCUCUCACUCGCGUCAUUCGCGAUCACCCCCCCUCCAAGUUCUCUUUAUCGCUCUUACUUACCAGCCAAAGAAUCUGCCCAGUUACCAACCACUUCAACCACUUUUUCAUCGUAACGCCAAUCCUCCUUGACGCUGUUAAUUUACCGGUAAUUUACUUCGUCCAUUCCUCUCUCGCCCAACAUCAUCAACGCCUUCUUCUUGCUCGGUACCGUUCGCUACCGACACGUUAUCUGUCACUGCGCCGUUUCAAAAAUACGACGCCUACUGUGCUUCUUGGCCAUCGAUCGUUCUUACUGUAAACAUUACAUCCAUGUAACGGAUGAUUUUUAAACGCGCGUAAAUUACUGGUAAAUAAAUUAGAUACAGACCAUCAUCGAUACGAACUGAAUUUCUUACAAGAAUCUACUCGACGAUGGUUUAUACGGCUUCCUAGUACUAAACAUUAAAAAUGGUGUAUUGUAAUUUAAUGUUCAUGCAAUUCAAAUAAUGGAUGAUUAUUUCUUUUUAACGUACCGUUUAUUCAGAAAGCUCGAUUCCAAUUGUUGUUGCUUCGUAUUCUACUUACAAUUUUAUCGAUAAGGGAUCUUUUAUUACAAUUACUUGACGCGACUAAACCGUUCUUCUUCAGGCGAAAUAACCGUUAGAAACGAGAUUUAUAUCGCAGGAAAAAACGAUCCAUCAAAAGCGAGUCGUAUCGAGAAAAAUAUCGAUUCUCAGGUAAACGAUACCUUCGAUCGAUGAAUUCGAACUAGGUGGCGCCACUUGCUGGGUUGCAUUUGUUUCAACCUUCGCGUCUCUAUUUGAAAUUUAUGCUUCUUUUUUUAUUAGGAUGCUUACUAAUAAAAUGUGAAAAGCUUUGUAAAGAAAAAAAUAACAUAGGAAGGUAAAAAGAAAGAACAAAAUCCAAAUACGUACAAUACUAUUUAUACACAAAUGUACGCAAAUGAACGCAAUUUUAUGAGUAACGUACAACUAAGUCUUGUCGUCAAACAUAAGGCUUAAAAUUAAGGCUUACAAAUUAUAUUGAAUGUGUGCGAUAAUCGUAACGUGUGUAUUUACGUAAUACUCGGAAUAUUUAUAUACAUAUAUCAAGAAAUCGGUGCAACGGUUUGCUCGAAAAACUUUCCAAAUUUUAAAGCGAUACUUCUAACAUCGUAUCGGAGUUAAAUCUGCAGUUUUCGUUUCAGAUCAAUGGUUCGCUGAUAUCGUUUGUUUUCGAUCCGAUAACGAUUGAUCGACGUCCUUCGAUAACAAUGUUUACGUGACAAAGCAAUACGACGAUGGUUUCCCUACGAUUUUUUAAUCGUCGUUUAACUGCUUCUUUCGAUCGUUGCACCGAUCUUGAGACACGAAGAUCUAAUAUAUUUACAGAAACGAAUACCGUUAUGCACUGGACCUGAAGAGAAAAAAAAACGUAUUGCAAGAAAACGAAAAGACAGAAAAGAAUUUACAUAGCACGUUCAGCGCAAAGCCUCGAAGAUCGCGUUACACGAACUUCGAACAAUUUGAUCGAUCACUUUCCUUGAUCGAGAAAACGAUCAGUCUGUCUUUACAGCGCGAACAAAAAGGGUUCGUACGCAAAGUCCCUCUAUAAACCAGAAUUGAAAGAAAUACUUGCGACUACAAAUUUUUCUAAACAUUGAAAAGAAUAUAUGAAAUAGCUAUAUGCAAACGUAUAAUGAAAUUGAUUUCAAACUGAAAAUAGCUGUGACGAAACGCGCUUAGCGUUAUCUCGUCCGUGUUUCAAAGAAAACAUAGUCUUACAGCCGAAGUUACGAAAACGCUUGGUCUUAUCGAGCCUAUCUAUCUAAUAAUAAACGCGUCGUAUAAAGUAUAAUAAUAGAAAAUCAUGUCUCGAUUGUAAAAGCCAAAUAUAAAUCGGUAUUUACGUUACAUCGUCGAAAAGAUGGCAUAAAAUCAUUUUAUCGAUCGAGUAUUAAAUCCAACGUCUAGUCAAAUCACGUGACUAAAGUAUUUUGACAAAAGCCAUUGACAAAUCAUAAAAUCGUGUAAUAUAAACGCUUCUCGAAAUGUUGCGUAUAAUGCAAUAAGAAACUUGUACGUACGUACAUAGGUGUGUAUUGUCGCAAGACGGAAUGUAUUAGGUACAUAUAUCGCGUGUGAAAAAAAGAAAUAGAAAAAGAAAAACAAAACAACAAACUUCGUAAAUAUUCGCGUAAAGUACGACGCAAAAGGAUCACGACGACGAUAAUUGAAGGUUGCACAACAGGUUGUCGUAAUAUUUAACAAUGUCGGGUUAGAUAGCAACAAGAUUUCCUGCGAGUCCUGUGACUCGCUGCGGCUCAUCGUUUACUUUGUCCAGAAACGAACGUGGAAACUCGCGCGAGACUUCCCACUAUUGUGUCGCCUACUUUUACACGGUGUUACAUAUUUCUUGGGUUACGUAAAAUCAUUUCAAUUCUGGUAAAUGAAAUCUGUCUUUGUUGCUUUAACGAGAACCACACUCGCAGUUUUCAAAGUUUUCCCAUUCGGACUUGCGCGUCGAUGAUCGUUUGCCGUCGUGUAAGGUGUCGUAAGAAGUUUCUACAUCGAACCGGCCCGGCAGCCGCGAUAAUUUUCAUCGAUUAACGCAAUCGGAAAGAACGAGCAACGUCCUGAAUUUGAUAACGGGUAACAGAAAUCGAGGAUGACGGGCGUCGCGUCGCGUCGCGUACACUUUCUCCAGCGUCGUCGUGAUCGUCCUUGGAAGAGCGCAAACGGUGUCGUAGAUGGCGGGAAAAAUCGCAUCUGAUCGGCUCGAACGUCGUUUAAAAUCGUUGGAAGAUACGAUUUUGAAAAGGGACUAAGCGUAUCUGGCGCGUUCGUUUGAAAGCAACGCGCUGUAGUACAAUCGAGAAAGACCGUCGAUGCUGAUGACGAAACGUUGUAACCUGUCGCGGUUAUAAUUUCUGCACGAUGUCGAACUUGUCCUUGAAGCCGAUCGAUUCCUUCUUCGGAUCGUACUUUUUGCGCGCUGCCAGCUGAGCUCUCAGUU